rnacentral:rRNA from 1 species
UCGGGAAUUUUGGGCAAUGGGCGAAAGCCUGACCCAGCAACGCCGCGUGAAGGAUGAAGUAUUUCGGUAUGUAAACUUCGAAAGAAUGGGAAGAAUAAAUGACGGUACCAUUUAUAAGCUCCGGCUAACUACGUGCCAGCAGCCGCGGUAAUACGUAGGGACCAAGCGUUGUUCGGAUUUACUGGGCGUAAAGGGCGCGUAGGCGGCAAUUCAAGUCAUCUGUGAAAUCUCCGGGCUUAACUCGGAACGGUCAGAUGAUACUGCUUUGCUAGAGUGCAGAAGGGGCAAUCGGAAUUCUUGGUGUAGCGGUGAAAUGCGUAGAUAUCAAGAGGAACACCUGAGGUGAAGACGGGUUGCUGGGCUGACACUGACGCUGAGGCGCGAAAGCCAGGGGAGCAAACGGGAUUAGAUACCCACGUAGUCCCUGAGCGGGCUGGCAAGGCGCAU